CUACCAUAUGAUAAAUAUGCAUUUACUUUUUCUCACGAUGGUCAUCUGAGAUUGAAUUCUGAUGUAAUCAUCCAAUUUUCUGAUGGUU
rfam:Lupinus angustifolius cultivar Tanjil contig_8357, whole genome shotgun sequence.